rnacentral:rRNA from 1 species
CACGUAGGGGGCAAGCGUUGUCCGGAUUUAUUGGGCGUAAAGAGCUCGUAGGCGGUUCGGUAAGUCGGGUGUGAAACCUCCAGGCUCAACCUGGAGACGCCACCCGAUACUGCUGUGACUAGAGUCCGGUAGGGGAGCGUGGAAUUCCUGGUGUAGCGGUGAAAUGCGCAGAUAUCAGGAGGAACACCGAUGGCGAAGGCAGGUCUCUGGGCCGAUACUGACGCUGAGGAGCGAAAGCGUGGGGAGCAAACAGG